CAACUUUUCUAAUUGGCCUUUUCUUUCAGAUAUUUGAUCAAGUAUAGUAAAAUUAUACCACAGGUUCCAAAUUCUAAUCUGAUUGAGCUCGCCAAAAAAUUGGAACACGUUGCUGAGAAAUGCUGUAAUUUAGAUGGUGAUCAACAAGUCUCAUGUGCUUUAGACAAUACGGAUAAAGUGAUAGGAUCUAUUUGUAAAUGUCACAAAGGACAUUACCUA